AUUGAACGCUGGCGGCAUGCCUUACACAUGCAAGUCGAACGGCAGCACGGACUUCGGUCUGGUGGCGAGUGGCGAACGGGUGAGUAAUACAUCGGAACGUGCCUAGUAGAGGGGGACAACAGUUGGAAACGACUGCUAAUACCGCAUAAGCCCACAGCUCGGCAUCGAGCAGAGGGAAAAGGAGUGAUCCGCUUUGAGAUGGCCUCGCGUCCGAUUAGCUAGUUGGUGAGGUAACGGCCCACCAAGGCGACGAUCGGUAGCCGGACUGAGAGGUUGAACGGCCACAUUGGGACUGAGACACGGCCCAG
rnacentral:rRNA from 1 species